GAUAUUAUUUUUCAGUUUGGUUAGAAUAUCGGCCUGUCAUCCCGAGUACUCGGGACGGGUUCGAGUCCCGUUCGUCUCG
rnacentral:tRNA from 1 species